UGCUUUGAGCAGUAGCAGUAUCGUAGCCAAUGAGGUUUAUCUGAGGCACGAUUAUUGCUAAUUGAAAAAGAAAAUGUACUUCUUUCAGAAGAAAUUAUGAUCUUUCUCUGACCUUUAUUAUUCAUUUAA
rfam:Heterocephalus glaber contig201139, whole genome shotgun sequence.